AUUGAACGCUGGCGGCAUGCCUUACACAUGCAAGUCGAACGGUAACAGGUUAAGCUGACGAGUGGCGAACGGGUGAGUAAUGUAUCGGAACGUGCCCAGUCGUGGGGGAUAACUGCUCGAAAGAGCAGCUAAUACCGCAUACGACCUGAGGGUGAAAGCGGGGGAUCGCAAGACCUCGCGCGAUUGGAGCGGCCGAUAUCAGAUUAGGUAGUUGGUGAGGUAAAGGCUCACCAAGCCGACGAUCUGUAGCUGGUCUGAGAGGACGACCAGCCACACUGGGACUCAGACACGGCCCAGACUCCUACGGGAGGCAGCAGUGGGGAAUUUUGGACAAUGGGCGCAAGCCUGAUCCAGCCAUGCCGCGUGCGGGAAGAAGGCCUUCGGGUUGUAAACCGCUUUUGUCAGGGAAGAAAAGGUUCUGGCUAAUACCUGGGACUCAUGACGGUACCUGAAGAAUAAGCACCGGCUAACUACGUG
rnacentral:rRNA from 1 species